GAGCACAUGGACCCGCUGGUCAAGCGGGCUCGGCAAGGCCAGGAUGAAGAGAAGCUGCGAACUUAGCACUCCCAGAGACCCCCGAGUGGAUAUCCGCGUGGAAAGGAUGUUGGCAGCCCCGGUGACCUCGGAGUCACGGCUGGAUCCACCCUCUUGUCUGAUUUUCUUAACUCGACCACGGUAAGAAGAUGCCCUCCAUCAGCGGGCUGUGCUUGCAGAUGUCGUGGGGCCUCUCUGGAGACUUCCCGAACCCUGUGGAUUUACAGUAAGAUGCAGUUUCCUGGGGAGUAAUUCUGGUGGAUACAAAUUCCGGAGUACUACACCUGGCUUGCCUGGAGAUGUUACAAGUAGUUGGUCGGAUUCUACAGCCUGGAUGCCCACUGAGAACAAGGACUGAAACUGAGAGGACUGUAUCUCUACCCUUGACUCAGUGGGAAUAUUUGCUGUCAUCUCUCGGGUUACCUGGAGCUCCCUCUAAAAUAGAGCUGAGUUCUGUCACCAUAGACAUUGGCAGUGGCGCUUGCAUGGUGCUUGCAUGCCCCUGGCAAGCAGUCUGUCCUGAGGUGGAGGAGUUGCCCUUGAGUUCUGGCUGGUAACCAGCACAGGGGCUGGGACACUCCCUGAUUGAGGUGGCCAUUGAGAAUUCAAGUGUACCUCUUGGUCCCUGAUGCAGAAAUGAAGUCCCCAGCAGGCUCCUUGGAGGGUGAGAGGCAUGGGAAUCUUUAAGCAUACCCUUGAAGCGUUCCAGAAGGAUUUUGAGGUCCUUUCCUAAAUCAAAGGUGGAAUAUUUGGGGAUUUGGAAAAUUGAGAUGAGAAGCAUUGACUUAAGAGAUGCCAAGUAACUCAGCAGAUGUCACACAGACGAUAAAUAGCAAAGAUGGAAGUCUUCAUGCCGGAGGCAAUCCUAUAAGACAGCUGAGUUCUCCAGAGCUGGUAGGAGACAGACUUGCUCAGGUGAUAGAUCCAGCCAUGAUACUGACCCUAAGAGAAUGAGACACUCUGCAGAAGACUUAGAAGAUUCCUGAGACUGGGAAAGGUGCCUAGAAAUCCUGAGAAGAGUGAAGAAGCCAUUGGCAGAGCAGCCUUCCACAGCACUAUGAAAGACAUCCAACAGAGAGCAAGUUUCCACCUCACUUCCAGCUUGACUCCUCUUUUAUCUCCUAACUGCAGUAUGUGAUGUCUUCAGCAACGGUAUUAAUUAGUUCUGGGUACCUGGAGGCACAGCAGCCGUGUUGAACCUAUGAGGUGAUGAAAAACCAUGCAACUAGAAACCAGAAUGGAAGAAAAGAAGAAGCUGGAUCCUUGACUGAAUCAUAGAUGGGGGAUAGUCCAUCAUCCCAGGGCUAAGACCACCUCCAGAUUUCUUGUUUGGUGAAACAAUUCCUGAUUGUUUACAUUUCUUUAUGUUGAGCUGUCUCUUACUUGUAGCUGAAAGCAUUUCUAAUAGAUAUUCAGAUUAUCAGCCUUAGCUCCAAGCUAGAAUACUCUAUGGGACCUUAGCUUCUCCAUGAAUUCUUUUGCUCAUCUGUGUAGUGCUCAAUAAAUGUAAAUUGAACCCUGAAUGAGGGACAAUG
ensembl:lincRNA Pvt1 Pvt1 oncogene